ensembl:rRNA 5S_rRNA 5S ribosomal RNA
ACCAGCAGCCAUAUCACCCUGCAGCCCAAGACUUGUUGCCCACUGAAGCUAAGCAGGGCUGAGCCUGGUCAGUACCUGGAUGGGAGACCUCCUGGGAAAACUAGGUUGCUGCUGGAA